rnacentral:rRNA from 1 species
AGCAGUGAGGAAUAUUCGGCAAUGGGGCAACCCUGACCGAGCAACGCCGCGUGGAGGAUGACGGUUUCGGAUUGUAAACUCCUUUUCUCAGGGAAGAGCGAGGACGGUACCUGGGGAAUAAGUCACGGCUAACUACGUGCCAGCAGCCGCGGUAAUACGUAGGUGGCAAGCGUUAUCCGGAAUUACUGGGCGUAAAGCGCACGCAGGUGGCGGCUUAAGUCUGACGUGAAAGCUCCUGGCUUAACUGGGAGAGGUCGUUGGAGACUGGGCGGCUUGAGGCGAGGAGAGGGGUGUAGAAUUCCCGGUGUAGUGGUGGAAUGCGUAGAGAUCGGGAGGAAUACCAGUGGCGAAAGCGGCACCCUGGCCUUGGCCUGACGCUCAGGUGCGAAAGCGUGGGGAGCGAACGGGAUUAGAUACCCCGGUAGUCCACGCGGUAAACGAUGAAUACUAGGUGUAGGUGGUCUCAAAACUAUCUGUACCGCAGCUAACGCGAUAAGUAUUCCGCCUGGGGAGUACGACCGCAAGGUUAAAAACUCAAAGGAAUUGACGGGGGC